rnacentral:rRNA from 1 species
AUACGGAGGGUGCAAGCGUUAUCCGGAAUCAUUGGGUUUAAAGGGUCCGUAGGCGGACUAUUAAGUCAGAGGUGAAAUCCCACAGCUCAACUGUGGAACUGCCUUUGAUACUGGUAGUCUUGAGUUAUAUGGAAGUAGAUAGAAUGUGUAGUGUAGCGGUGAAAUGCAUAGAUAUUACACAGAAUACCGAUUGCGAAGGCAGUCUACUACGUAUAUACUGACGCUAAGGGACGAAGGCGUGGGGAGCGAACAGGAUUAGAAACCCUAGUAGUCC